GCUGCAUUCCCUGGGUGAUUAGCCACGCCAAAUACCCACAGCUCAGCUCCCUGGUUUAAAAACACGGAUAACAGUGACUUAAUUAACACAUCCAUGUAGUUCUCCUGACAGUUACUGAGUACAGCUUCAAAACAAUCAAAAUGCAUUGUGAAUACUUUAUAUUAACACGAUGACUCCACCAGAAUUCACAAGAAACAGAAAAUGCAUAUCGCCGCCUUGGCUUGUUACCCAGCUGUUGCGUAUCACCAGCACCACCUUCUGCCUGCUUCCCUGCCAGUUUACAAGCAUGUCAUCAACCACAGCAACUCAAUAGCUUCAUUCUGUGAUUGGCAGGCUCAAAAUGACUGGACCUGUAAAAGUCUUGACAGCAAACAACUAAAAGAUCUCUUUAAGAGGUCGAAAGGUUUGUAAAAAUAUAUAAAUAAAAAAUUAUGAUCCAAC
rnacentral:lncRNA from 1 species